GUGUUCUCUUGGGCAGCACAUACACUAAAACUGAAAUAAUACAGAGAAAAUUAGCAUGGCCUCUGCACAAAGAUAACACGCAAAUUCAUGAAGCUUUUCAUAUUUUU
ensembl:snRNA U6 U6 spliceosomal RNA